AUGGACAUGAGGGCCCCUGGUCAGUUCCUCAGGCUACUGUUGCUGUUUUUUCCAGGUGCUUGUUCUGCCAUUCAGGUCACCCAGUCUCCAUCCUCCCUGUCUGCAUCUCUGGGAGAAAGAGUGAAUAUCACUUGUGAUGCCAGUGAGAAUAUUUAUGGGCUUUUAGGCUGGUAUCAGCAGAAAAUAGGAAAAGCUCCUAAGCUCCUUAUCUAUGGUGCCACCAACUUAGAAGAUGGGGUCCCAACAAGAUUUAGUGGCAGUGGGUCUUGGACAAAAUAUUCUCUCUCAAUCAGCAGCCUGGAACCUGAAGAUAGUGCAACCUAUUACUGUCAGUAUACUCGUAUGUCUCCUCCCACAUUGAUGCAAGUCAUAACAUAA